rnacentral:rRNA from 1 species
GACGUAGGGGGCCAGCGUUGUUCGGAAUUACUGGGUGUAAAGGGUUCGUAGGCGGUGCGGCAAGUUGGGAGUGAAAUCUCUGGGCUUAACCCAGAGGCUGCUUCCAAAACUGCUGUGCUUGAGUGUGGGAGAGGCGCGUGGAAUUGCAGGUGUAGCGGUGAAAUGCGUAGAUAUCUGCAGGAACACCCGUGGCGAAAGCGGCGCGCUGGACCGGUAUUGACGCUGAGGUGCGAAAGCGUGGGGAGCAAACAGG